AUGUGUAUCCAUCCCUGCACCUGGAAUACACACAGCGACCAGCCAUCAAAGGGCCUGCAGAGGAAGGCUGCUACAGAAGGAAAAUCUCUGGGAAGUUUAUUUUCUAGUGUGUGGCUAAAAACAGGGAUGUACAGAGGCCCCAGGGCAAAGAGGGGAAACUGCUGCUACAGUGGGCAAGCAGGCUCAGUUCCAUUGUACACACAGGCAGGCAGAGCACCACUUCCUGAGGAAGGUGUGCCUUCCUCUUCCAUCAACACCUGCUUGCUAUGGGGCCUCCAUUCCAGGCUGACCCCAGGCAGUGCAGUGAGUCUGGAGCAGGGAGCUGUGCUCUCCCAAUGCGUGUCAUUCACUACCAGGAUCCUCUGCGUGAGCACCAAGAGGAAAUGCUCUCCUGACAAGGCUCCCUUGGCAGAGGGAUUUCCCCACAGGCCCUGUGCCGUGUCAUUCCCCAUUUGCUGUCCUAUGGCCAUGAAUUUUGUAGGAAGAAGUUACACACAUGGAUCAUUCAGAGGCACUGCCCAUCAGCAAAUAAAGGAAAAGCAAACAGGCCCUAGGGGCUCAGUCUUGUCCUGUCAGCUGGUAGCUGUUACUGGGAGCUCUCCAGCCCCAGCCCAGGCACUGCCAAAAGGGUUUUACUCGAGUUGCACUGAGCUGAUGGAGGACGAAGGGCUGUGGUGUAGAGCUCUGCGGGCUGUGAUUGAUGAACGCUCAGAUCCAGCCCUCUCCUCCCUACCAGCUCCGCUCCCCAAGAGGCCUGCAGCACACUCAAUGCACGGCCAGCAUUCAGUCCACAGAAAUGACUGCUUGAACUCCAGUCUGGAAACAGGGGUAGUCCUUCGUGAUCUGCAGCAUCACACAGUGCCCCACCAGCCACGUGGCCAUCAGCUAUCCUGGCAGUGCUGGCCCUUUGUGCUGCCCGUCUGCUCUCUGCCUUUGUUUCUCCUGGGCUGUAGCAGCCUACAGCCCAAGCGGAUCUGUGGGCAGCCAUUCCAUUGGGCACACCAUGUGGCACAUGGCAGGACAGAAUGGCAGCCUGGGUUCCUUCCAGCUGCCACCAGCCAGCUCUCAGCAGCAGCUCAGCAGCUUCCAUUCCCUUUUUCUUUCCCUGUCUUUUUUCCUGAACAAAUUCCCUUUUGUGCCCAGACCUCCCUGCAGACAGGUCCACAGGGCUGGCAUGAUGCAUUGUGCAGGGAUUCCAGAGGUGAGUCCUGGCUGCAGCAGUGGAGCUUCAGUUGCCCUGCUGGUGCCCAGCAAGCCAGGCUCCUCUGGUCAGUGCUGAUGGGGUUCCCAAUUCAGGCAUGGUCCCAUGCUGCAGCCACUCGGGGGGGACUGGGUCUGAAGGUUUGCAGUGCUCUUGCUAUUGGUGCAGAGGGCAUUUGGCUUUAUUAG
rnacentral:lncRNA from 1 species